AAUGAAGCAGCUACAUCAAAACAAGCAUGGAAAAAUAAGAAGCCACACAUGGAUAACGCCUGAACUCUGCUCUUUGCCCACAGGAAGGGGUGUCCGUAUAGCAGGCGGCCCAAGGCAGCGCACAAGGGAAAGCAUCAGCUGGGCUGACACCAGUGGUGCUGCUCGGCUUUGACCCUGCCUGAGGACAGUCCACAUCCACCUCCAGAUCAGCCAAGUUUCCCAGGCUGGAGAAGUGGGUCACUGUGCAUAGCAUACAGGGCCGUAGCAGAGGUGUCCUUCCCUCCCUGUGGGCAGAGAGCUUUCCUGCUGCCACGUGAAGCUGCCUUUCCACCUCCUGGACCGUGUCUGGCUUCUGCAGGCGGAAUGCUGGGACCCAGUCCAGAAAAGCAGGAAAGCAGCUCGGUGCACGCAGACAGCUUUACUCAUCUCAUGGAACAGCAGAACCGAUUCAGAUUCUUUCAUCCAGUGCACCCGGCCUCUGCAGCCCCCCAGCAGCAGCACCAAAGAGGGAAUGCAUCCUCAGUUCAAUCCCCUGCUCCCUCACACGCUGUCAGAAGCAUGUAACCACAACAACCGGCUUCAUCCUGGCUUUCUAGGGAGAGCAGAGGUGACAACUGCUUAAAGAGAAGGGAGGAGGAGAUAAUACUCGAGAGCUGUGCUGUCUUGUUUCCAGCCUCAAAUGCAUGCUCCGGGUGAAAACAUCUAAACUGUUUUUCAGAUUCGCAUCCCUUUCAGUGGGACCACUGAUGCUCUC
ensembl:lncRNA